rnacentral:rRNA from 1 species
AUUAUUGGAUAUUGGUGGCAACACUGAUCCAGCCAUGCCUCGUGUGUGAAGAAGGUCUUCGGCUCGUAAUCCACUUUAAGUUGGGAGGAAGGGCUUUAGGUUAUUAUCCUGACGUUUUGACGUUACCAACCGAAUAAGCACCGGCUAACUCUGUGCUAGCAGCCGCGGUAAUACAGAGGGUGCAAGCGUUAAUCGGAAUUACUGGGCGUAAAGCGCGCGUAGGUGGUUCAGUAAGAUGGGUGUGAAAUCCCCGGGCUUAACCUGGGAACUGCUUUCAUAACUGCUGAGCUAGAGUAAGGUAGAGGGUAGUGGAAUUUCCUGUGUAGCGGUGAAAUGCGUAGAUAUAGGAAGGAACACCAGUGGCGAAGGCGACUACCUGGACUGAUACUGACACUGAGGUGCGAAAACGUGGGGAGCAAAC